UACGGAGGGUGCAAGCGUUUAUCCGGAUUUAUUGGGUUUAAAAGGGUCCGUAGGCGGACUCGUAAGUCAGUGGUGAAAUCUCAUAGCUUAACUAUGAAACUGCCAUUGAUACUGCGGGUCUUGAGUAAGGUAGAGGUAGCUGGAAUAAGUAGUGUAGCGGUGAAAUGCAUAGAUAUUACUUAGAACACCAAUUGCGAAGGCAGGUUACCAUGUCUUAACUGACGCUGAUGGACGAAAGCGUGGGGAGCGAACAGG
rnacentral:rRNA from 1 species